rnacentral:rRNA from 1 species
UACAGAGGUGGCAAGCGUUGUUCGGAAUUACUGGGCGUAAAGGGCGCGUAGGCGGUCUCGUAAGUCCUGUGUGAAAUCCCCCGGCUCAACUGGGGAACUGCACAGGAAACUGCGGGACUUGAGUUCGGGAGAGGGAAGCGGAAUUCCACGUGUAGCAGUGAAAUGCGUAGAGAUGUGGAGGAACACCGAUGGCGAAGGCAGCCUCCUGGGCCAGCACUGACGCUCAUGCACGAAAGCGUGGGGAGCAAACAGG